rnacentral:rRNA from 1 species
CAGCCGCCGCGGUAAUACCGGCGGCCCGAGUGGCGGUCACUAUUAUUGGGCUUAAAGCGUCCGUAGCCGGGUUGGGAAGUCCUCCGGGAAAUCUGGCCGCUUAACGGUCAGAAUGCCGGAGGAUACUCCCAGCCUAGGGGGCGGGAGAGGCCGAGGGUAUUCCCGGAGUAGGGGUGAAAUCCUAUAAUCCCGGGAGGACCACCUGUGGCGAAGGCGCUCGGCUGGAACGCGUCCGACGGUGAGGGACGAAGGCCAGGGGAGCAAACCGGAUUAGAUACCCGGGUAGUCCUGGCUGUAAACGAUGCGGACUUUGUGUCGGACAAGCUAUGAGCUUGUCCGGUGCCGGAGGGAAACCGUUAAGUCCGCCGCCUGGGGAGUACGGCCGCAAGGCUGAAACUUAAAGGAAUUGGCGGG